rnacentral:rRNA from 1 species
AACGAACGCUGGCGGCAGGCUUAACACAUGCAAGUCGAACGCAUCCUUCGGGGUGAGUGGCAGACGGGUGAGUAACGCGUGGGAACGUGCCCUUCAGUUCGGGAUAACCCAGGGAAACUUGGGCUAAUACCGGAUACGUGCGAGAGCAGAAGGAUUUAUCGCUGAAGGAUCGGCCCGCGUCUGAUUAGCUAGUUGGAGGGGUAAUGGCCCACCAAGGCGACGAUCAGUAGCUGGUCUGAGAGGAUGAUCAGCCACAUUGGGACUGAGACACGGCCCAAACUCCUACAGGAGGCAGCAGUGGGGAAUAUUGGACAAUGGGCGCAAGCCUGAUCCAGCCAUGCCGCGUGAGUGAUGAAGGCCUUAGAGUUGUAAAGCUCUUUCGUCCGGGACGAUAAUGACGGUACCGGAAGAAGAAGCCCCGGCUAACUUCGUGCCAGCCGCCGCCGUAA